rnacentral:rRNA from 1 species
GUAGUCCACGCCCUAAACGAUGUGUGCUCGCUGUCAGUCUCGCUACAGAGAUUGGUGGCUUAGCUAACGCGGUAAGCACACCGCCUGGGGAGUACGGCCGCAAGGUUAAAACUCAAAGGAAUUGACGGGGACCCGCACAAGUGGUGGAGCAUGUCCUUUAAUUCGAAGAUACGCGAAAAACCUUACCUAGCCUUGACAUCCCGAUAGCCGUUCCCCGAAAAGGGAGCUUCAUUUAGUUGGAUCGGAGACAGGUGUUGCAUGGCUGUCGUCAGCUCGUGUCGUGAGAUGUUGGGUUAAGUCCCGCAACGAGCGCAACCCUCGCCUUUAAUUGCCAUCAUUAAGUUGGGCACUUUAGAGGAACUGCCGCGGAUAACGCGGAGA